GACGAACGCUGGCGGCGUGCUUAACACAUGCAAGUCGAACGGAAAGGCCCUGCUUUUGUGGGGUGCUCGAGUGGCGAACGGGUGAGUAACACGUGAGUAACCUGCCCUUGACUUUGGGAUAACUUCAGGAAACUGGGGCUAAUACCGGAUAGGAGCUCCUGCUGCAUGGUGGGGGUUGGAAAGUUUCGGCGGUUGGGGAUGGACUCGCGGCUUAUCAGCUUGUUGGUCUGGUAGUGGCUUACCAAGGCUUUGACGGGUAGCCGGCCUGGGAGGGUGACCGGCCACAUUGGGACUGAGAUACGGACCAGACUCCUACGGGCGGCAGCAGUGGGGAAUAUUGCGCAAUGGGCGGAAGCCUGUUGCAGCAACGCCGCGUGCGGGAUGACGGCCUUCGGGUUGUAAACCGCUUUCGACUGUGCCGAAGCGUGAGUGACGGUAAUGGGUAAAGAAGCACCGGCUAACUACGUG
rnacentral:rRNA from 1 species